AUCAAAAUGGCGGACAGGAAGUAUGGCCAAUUUUGGCAUAAUUGGUAUUGAUGUUCUCGGCAGGACCCAAAGAAUAUAGGGAGACCAUUUUCAUUUUAAUAGUCUAAUUCUUUCAAAAGUUAUAAGCAUUUUUAAGAUAUUUCAUUAUAACUUUUGACCACAAGGUGGCGCUGCCAUCAAACUUUUUCAGUAUCAAGAGGGCAUGGAGCCAAACAUUUUUGUAAUUAUUUUCGUAGCGAUACGAUAAUGCGUUCAAAAAAUACAGCAUUUUGAAACAUAAUUCAAAAUGGCCGACACCUAAAAUGGCUGACACGGGAAAAUUGGAUAUCAUUCGACUCGGCAUGACCCACCGAAUACAAAGAGACUAGUUUUGUGAUUUUUGGUCAAACCAUUCAGAAGUUAUAAGCAAAAAUAUGCAUUUUUCAUAUCUCCUGACCACUAGGUGGCGCUGCGUCGAAACACUGCAGGUAGUCUCAGGUCAUGCUUGUUAUAACACACACCAAGUUUGGUCUCAAUACGCCAAACCGUUGCGGAGUUAUAGCCUCACAAGCAUUUUUGCGUGCUUUUCGUAGAAUUUGUUCGCGUGGUAUUCGAGAACGGUAGGACAAAGCAACUUGAAUUCCAUAACUUUUUGCCGGCAUCAUCUGAAUAUGAUCUGAGCCAAUUUUCGUGAAAAUCGGACUAACCGUCUAGGACGAGUUCGUAAAAGUAGGUUUUUCAAACAAUUGAAAAUAUCAAAAAAACUAAACCUUGCGAUUUUUGAAUUUCGGGGUUCAUUCGACUUGGCCUGAGCCAAGGAUUCAGAGGAAAAAAGAAUUUUCAUUUUGUGGCUUACGGUUCAAAAGUUAUUAGCAUAAAAAUAUUGAAAUUUUGGACAAGUGGUGGCGCUAGAGAGUUGGAGUUAGAGACUUCAAAUUUGCUAUAGUUAAUGCUGGGACUGUCCUCUAUCAGUGUGCCAAAUUAUACAACUUUCCCGCAAUCGGUUCUAUGGGCUGCCAUAGACUUGCGGCGGAAGAAGAAGAAGAAGAAGAAGAAGAAGAAGAAGAAGAAGAAGAAGAAGAAGAAGAAGAAGAAAUAUAGCUGCAAGCAGCAAUUACGGGGCCAAGCACUCCAGAGGCAAAUUGAGGAGCUAAGCAUGGCAUGGAGCAUCACACCAAAUGUAACAAUGAGCAAUUACAGCAAUUUUAGGAUGAUUGUAAUUGAAAUUGCGGAAAAAUCAUAAAUACAAGCACUAGUAUUAUGAUUAAAUGACUUAUAACUUUUGACCAACAGGUGGCGCUGUAAUUAAAUCAUUUUGGUGUGUUCUGUGUGAGGUGACAAUGGCACACACAAAGGUUGGUGUCAGUAUGCCAAAGCAUUGCAGAGAUACAGGCUGAAGUGUCAUUUUGGCAUCAUGCCUGAAAUUCGUCGCUGUGGUAUGCGAAAACGAUUUUGUCUAUCGAUACAAAAUCCAUAACAUUUUGUCAGCACAGUCUGAAGAUCAUCUGAUUCAAUUUUGGUGAAAAUCGGACCAACGGUUGAUGAGGAGUUCGAAAAAGUAGGUUUUCAACAUAAAUCAAAAUGGCGGACAGGAAGUUCAGCGUACUCUGACAUAUUUGGUAUCUAUGUUGUCGGCAUAAGCCAAGGAAUAUUUUGAGACCAGUUUUAUUGCAAUAGGCUAAUGCAAUAAAAAGUUAUUAGCAUUUUUAUAAAUGUAAUUAUUAAUGGUUAAUGAAUGGUUUAUUACUCUUGACCAAUAGGUGGCGCUGUUACCAAAUUGAUGUUGCAUGGUCAGUGUGAG
ensembl:lncRNA